UACGGAGGGUGCAAGCGUUGUUCGGAAUCACUGGGCGUAAAGGGCGCGUAGGCGGCCGUACAAGUCUGAUGUGAAAGCCCGAGGCUUAACCUCGGAAGUGCAUUGGAAACUGUACGGCUUGAGUUCGGGAGAGGAGGGCAGAAUUCCUGGUGUAGGGGUGAAAUCCGUAGAUAUCAGGAGGAAAACCAGUGGCGAAGGCGGCCCUCUGGAACGAAACUGACGUUGAGGCGCGAAAGCGUGGGUAGCAAACAGG
rnacentral:rRNA from 1 species